rfam:Camelus ferus unplaced genomic scaffold scaffold157, whole genome shotgun sequence.
UAGGGUAUAGCUCAGUGGUAGAGCACAUGCCUAGCCUGCAUGAGGUCAUGGAUUCAAUCCCCAAUACAUUAG